rnacentral:lncRNA from 1 species
AUCUAUCCCCCACUAUUCAGUGUGUCCUCUCUUUGCUCCCAGUACAUGGUUGAAGCAUUGAGAUAAAUACCCAAGAUCUAAUCGAGUCAAUAAUGUGGAGAGAGUUCCUACUUUCUGAACUCCCACACUUUCUUUGAUGCUCUCUCUGAUUUGAGAUAGAAGCAAUGAGGCACACCCCUCAUCUCCUUUUCAUCUGCUUCACCUGAGCCCCUCAAUGGCCAGGUUAAGAGCGACACUUACCUAUUACAGUGGACUGUUAAAGUCAAACCCUCUUGUGUGAG